GAAAUCAACCGAGAUUCCCUUAGUAGUGGCGAGCGAACGGGGAUUAGCCCUUAAGCUUCAUUGAUUUUAGCGGAACGCUCUGGAAAGUGCUGCCAUAGUGGGUGAUAGCCCCGUACGCGAAAGGAUCUUUGAAGUGAAAUCGAGUAGGACGGAGCACGAGAAACUUUGUCUGAACAUGGGGGGACCAUCCUCCAAGGCUAAAUACUACUGACUGACCGAUAGUGAACCAGUACCGUGAGGGAAAUGCGAAAAGAACCCCGGAGAGGGGAGUGAAAUAGAACCUG
rnacentral:rRNA from 1 species